AGUGAACGCUGGCGGUAGGCCUAACACAUGCAAGUCGAACGGCAGCACAGUAAGAGCUUGCUCUUACGGGUGGCGAGUGGCGGACGGGUGAGGAAUACAUCGGAAUCUACUUUUUCGUGGGGGAUAACGUAGGGAAACUUACGCUAAUACCGCAUACGACCUACGGGUGAAAGCAUGGGAUCUUCGGACCUUGCGCGAUUGAAUGAGCCGAUGUCGGAUUAGCUAGUUGGCGGGGUAAAGGCCCACCAAGGCGACGAUCCGUAGCUGGUCUGAGAGGAUGAUCGGCCACACUGGAACUUAGACAGGGUCCAGACUCCUACGGGAGGCAGCAGUGGGGAAUAUUAGACAAUGGGCGCAAGCCUGAUCCAGCCAUACCGCGUGGGUGAAGAAGGCCUUCGGGUUGUAAAGCCCUUUUGUUGGGAAAGAAAAGCAGCAGGUUAAUACCCCGCUGUUCUGACGGUACCCAAAGAAUAAGCACCGGCUAACUUCGUG
rnacentral:rRNA from 1 species